AACGAACGCUGGCGGCAUGCCUAACACAUGCAAGUCGAACGAGACCUUCGGGUCUAGUUGCGCACGGGUGCGUAACGCGUGGGAACCUGCCUUUAGGCUCGGAAUAACACAGAGAAAUUUGAGCUAAUACCGGAUGAUGUCUUCGGACCAAGGAUUUAUCGUCUUUAGAUGGGCCGGCGUUGGUUUAGCUAGUUGGUGGGGUAAAGGCCUACCACGGCGUCGAUCCUUAGCUGGUCUGAGAGAAUGAGCAGCCACACUGGGACUGAGACACGGUCCAGAAUCCUACGCGAGGGAGCAGUGGGGAAUACAGGACAAUGGGCGAAAGCCUGAACCAGCUAUGCCGCGUGAGUGAUGAAGGCCUUAGGGUAGUAAAGCUCGUUUACCCGAGAUGAUAAUGACAGUAUCGGGAGAAUAAGCACCGGCUAACUCCGUG
rnacentral:rRNA from 1 species